rnacentral:rRNA from 1 species
GAUUGAACGCUGGCGGCAUGCCUUACACAUGCAAGUCGAACGGCAGCGCGGGCUUCGGCCUGGCGGCGAGUGGCGAACGGGUGAGUAAUACAUCGGAACGUGCCCUGUUGUGGGGGAUAACUAGUCGAAAGAUUAGCUAAUACCGCAUACGACCUGAGGGUGAAAGCGGGGGACCGUAAGGCCUCGCGCAGCAGGAGCGGCCGAUGUCUGAUUAGCUAGUUGGUGGGGUAAUGGCCUACCAAGGCGACGAUCAGUAGCUGGUCUGAGAGGACGAUCAGCCACACUGGGACUGAGACACGGCCCAGACUCCUACGGGAGGCAGCAGUGGGGAAUUUUGGACAAUGGGGGCAACCCUGAUCCAGCAAUGCCGCGUGUGUGAAGAAGGCCUUCGGGUUGUAAAGCACUUUUGUCCGGAAAGAAAACGCGCUGGUUAAUACCCGGCGUGGAUGACGGUACCGGAAGAAUAAGCACCGGCUAACUACGU